rfam:Brachypodium distachyon strain Bd21 chromosome 4, whole genome shotgun sequence.
AACCUGCUCCCUCCGUCCAACAAAGAAUGUCUCAAUUUUGACUAAAUUUAAAUGCAUUUAUACACUAAGUCAUGUCUAGAUACAUCCAAAUUCUUUCAAACUUGAGACAUCUUUUGUUAGACGGAGGGAUUACUUA